CCGCCGGCUGCUGCCACGCCAGGGCUGAACCUCAUCCGGCUCUUUAACCCUAAUCCUAUCGGUUGCUCGCCUCCUCGAGGUGUCAUACCCAACUCGAAAGGGCUUCACCCCAGCAUUCCCCUUGCAUCAUCCCCUUGCGAAGCAAUGCUUAACACAGCAGCCUCCUAUGAGAUUGCUGCCCUCCUUGGGUGGGCAGGCAUGCACUUCAAUCACAAGCGCAUGAGGGCCUCGCCAGCUCGCUCCUGCCCUGUUCCAGAGGGCAGCACCCAAGGGUGCUGCAGCUUUUGC
rnacentral:telomerase_RNA from 1 species